UACGUAGGGUGCGAAGCGUUAAUCGGAAUUACUGGGCGUAAAGCGUGCGCAGGCGGUUUUGUAAGUUUGUCGUGAAAGCCCCGGGCUCAACCUGGGAAUUGCGAUGAAGACUGCAAGGCUUGAAUCUGGCAGAGGGGGGUAGAAUUCCACGUGUAGCAGUGAAAUGCGUAGAUAUGUGGAGGAAUACCGAUGGCGAAGGCAGCCCCCUGGGAUAACACUGACGCUCAUGCACGAAAGCGUGGGGAGCAAACAGG
rnacentral:rRNA from 1 species